rnacentral:rRNA from 1 species
AGUGAACGCUGGCGGUAGGCCUAACACAUGCAAGUCGAACGGCAGCACAGUAAGAGCUUGCUCUUACGGGUGGCGAGUGGCGGACGGGUGAGGAAUACAUCGGAAUCUACUUUUUCGUGGGGGAUAACGUAGGGAAACUUACGCUAAUACCGCAUACGACCUACGGGUGAAAGCAGGGGAUCUUCGGUCCUUGCGCGAUUGAAUGAGCCGAUGUCGGAUUAGCUAGUUGGCGGGGUAAAGGCCCACCAAGGCGACGAUCCGUAGCUGGUCUGAGAGGAUGAUCAGCCACACUGGAACUGAGACACGGACCAGACUCCUACGGGAGGCAGCAGUGGGGAAUAUUGGACAAUGGGCGCAAGCCUGAUCCAGCCAUACCGCGUGGGUGAAGAAGGCCUUCGGGUUGUAAAGCCCUUUUGUUGGGAAAGAAAAGCAGCAGGUUAAUACCCCGCUGUUCUGACGGUACCCAAAGAAUAAGCACCGGCUAACUUCGUG